rnacentral:lncRNA from 1 species
CAGAUCUAGAUUAGAGGAUAGGAGUUCCACAUCAAUGAUUCGAGCAUUAGAUAUGAUCCAGUAUCUCUAAACUACUUAUAUAUAAAAAAUAUAUAAUUUGAAGAAUCCUAGCUUAUGUAUCAAGUAUCGAAAAUUUGGACAAUUUAAAUAACAUGAAACAAUGCAUGCUUUUGUAACUAUUUGAUGCACAAUCCAGACGUCUCUAAAUUAUAUGAUUUUUGGUGUGUUUAGAAGUAGUAGAUCAUAUCCAAGGGCUCAAAUCAUCAAUAUUCCAUCAUCCAAUCUAGAUCCGACCAGAGUUAAGUGGAGAUCUAUUGGAGUGUAGCAUCAAGCUCUCAAUACAUUUCUAUUAUAGUCAAUGAAGAAAGGGAUAAGGGUCAUUGUGCCAAUUUUUAAGUUAACGCUCUCAUCUUUUCCCCACCACCCUACU